CAAAGUGGAGGCAUGAGAUAUGGAUUACGACCUGCACCUGCAGGAAGAAAAUGAUCAAGGAAACAGAAUUCCUUUGUCAACCCGGCAAAAGAGUAACAGAGAGAGAGAGAGCGAGUUUCAACCAACUGAAGGGAAAGGUGCUGAAGGGGCAAUUGUAGUUAGGAAUUGGAGGUAAAGUGAAGGAAUAAAGUGCUUCUUUGAACGAAGUUGUCUGAAAAGAUGAUUUUGUGGAAGCAGACAAGAGAAGGUAUCAGAAGGUGCUGUUUCACUUUCUGACAUCUUUCAAACUGAUGUUGAAGGAGAAGGAAAGAUGAAGAAACUGUACUAAUUACCCUGGGAUGAAAACCCUGUGUCAUGGAUUGGCAGUUUGGAAUUCCUGGCAGAGGAAUUCCCUUCCCAUGGUUCUGUUGUCACUGACAUUUAUCUUUCAUUGGGCGUCACCCUCUCUGCUCCUCCUGUCAUCAUCAUCCAACAUCAUUGGGGUCCUGGCAAUGUGCUCCUUUUUCUGCUGCCACUGGUGCCUUUGCUUUUGUGGCCUUCACCUCCAAAUGCCAACUACAAGUUUGCUGGCGACACCACCAUGCUAGAACGGAUGUCAAACAAUGAUGAGACAAAAUGCAGAAGGGAAAUUGAGGACUUGGUGUCAUGGUGUAAUGACAAUAAUGUGUCUCUCAAUCUCAUAAAACAAAAAAACUGAUCCUUGACUUCAGAAAGAAAGGAGGAGGACACACCCCCAUCUACAUCAGUGGAGUGGAGGUUGAAAGGGUUGAGAGUGGCAAUUUUCUCGGAGUGACGAUAAACAACAACCUGUCCUGGACUUCCCACGUAAAUGCGAUGGUAAAGAAUGUACAAUAAUACCCCUUCUUCAGGCGGCUUAAGAAAUUUGGCAUAUCCAUAAGGACACUCAUCACCUUUUACAGAUGCAUCAUAGAAACCAUGUGUAAUGGCCUGGUACAGCAACUGCUCUGUCCAGGAUGGUAAGAAACCACAGUAGGUUGUGUGCACAGCCCAGACCAUCAUGGAAGCCACCCUUCCAUCCAUGGACUCCAUUCAUGCUUCUUGUUGCCACGAAAAGACGGCCAACAUCAAUAAGAGCCCUCCCAUCCCAGUAGUGCUGUUUUAUAACCUCUUCCAUCAGGCAGAAGAUACAGAAGCUUGAACACACGCACCAACAAGUUCAAGAACAGUUUCUUCCCUGCUGUUAUUAGACCAAUGAAUGGACUCUCUAACUUCAAAUAAUGUUGAUCUUGCUUUGCACGCUUCCUGUGCAGUGUGACCUAUUGCUUCACACUGUCUAAACAGCCUAGGAUCUGUAUGUCCUUGCUUAUUAUGACCUGCUAGUACUUCUUGCAAACAAAACUUUUCAAUGUACUUAGGUACACGUGACUAAAACAAAUCAAAUCAAACUGGGUCCUGCAGCCUUCUCCAAUGUUGGCCAUUGACUGACAGGUCCUAGCUCCAACUCAGCCGAUGAGGUCCCUGGAUCAUCUUUUGAUUCCACCGCCCAAGAUGGAGUAGAGUUGGAGAUACACGGGACCCCAGCCUCCUGCAGGAGGACAUCAGGAGGAGGCUCCAGGGAAACCAAAACAAACAAAAAGGUUACUGAACUGGAAGGACAUAGAUGAAGCCACGGAAAGACAAUUCAGAAGGUCAGGAGGAAUGGGAUACAGGGGAACUUAGCUGCUUGGAUACAGAAUUGGCUGGCCAACAGAAGACAGCGAGUGGUAGUAGAAGGAAAAUAUUCUGCCUGGAAGUCAGUGAGCAACACUAUCUCUAGACACCUUGCAAUAGAAAAGUUGUCAAAAAUGACUUUACAAUUUGAAUGCUGGCCCUUUAAGGAACACUUGUACAGUGCCCAUCUUACACUCUCAUGCCGGAUCAUCAAAUGAAUACAAAUACAGGAUGUGAGAUAAUGGGAACUGCAGAUGCUGGAGAAUCCAAGAUAACAAAGUGUGAGGCUGGAUGAACACAGCAGGCCAAUCAGCAUCUCAAGAGCACAAAAGCUGACGUUUCGGGCCUAGACCUUUCAUCAGAAAAAUUUGAAAAAUGGGUAUCACAUCAAGUAGUUGAUCUAAGUGACAUGAGGAUAGUGCGGAUUCAAUCCCCCCGGACCAUGCAGGGAAUUUGAAUUUGAAUUUGAGUUUGAUUGAUUUAUUGAUACUUGCAUUUUGCAGUGAACAAUGCAGUAAAAUACAGUGAAAUGCUUGAAUAGCCGUCAU